CAUGGCAGCAAACAGAGCAACAUAAACCAAUGUAGUAAACAUUGGUUUAUGUUGCUCUGUUUGCUGCUAUC